rfam:Salmo salar isolate Sally breed double haploid chromosome ssa10, whole genome shotgun sequence.
UGCACCCAAUCUGUAAGUCGCUCUGGAUAAGAGCGUCUGCUAAAUGAAGUAAA